CCCUAUAUGAAUGAACAUUUGCUCAAACUAGUGUCCUGUGAAAUUACAGACGGCCCAGUGUUGAAGCCCAUUAUAUUAAAGAUUAGAUGUGCCAAACUGGUUUUGUAAUACCUUCAUUAAAUUAAAUAAAGUUUAUUAUUGUUACUAUUAUUAGUGUUAUAUGACGGAGAGAGUGAGACCUAAGCGCGCACGCUUCGAGCACUGAACCGUUUGACUUAUAAAUCGAACACAAUGUAUCGAGUAAACCUGCUGAAAAACCUAUAAACGACAACGCAUUUUAUGAAUACGAUUGACAACAAUAAUGGCCAAGCAUGAAUCAUAACUUUGAUCCUCUUGUCGUUUGUAUUCUGAUGCCAUAGUGUAGAUCAAGUAACUAUACGG